rnacentral:lncRNA from 1 species
UGAGGAGACAAUAAUUGGAGGGAAAAAGUAAUAAUAAUUGAGAGACACUUAAAAUUGUAGAUCACCUAACACCUCGUCAAUUUUGAUCCGAUCCUCUACAUGGACUUAUUGGAUAUGAGUUAUGACACGUGUCAGAGUUGUUUAUGUCGAACCUCACAUCCAAUAAUGCAACGGUUGGCUCAAAAUCAUCGACUCGAUCCUUUAGCACAUAU